CCUACGGGGGGCUGCAGUGGGGAAUAUUGCACAAUGGGCGCAAGCCUGAUGCAGCCAUGCCGCGUGUGUGAAGAAGGCCUUCGGGUUGUAAAGCACUUUCAGCGGGGAGGAAGGCGGUGAGGUUAAUAACCUCAUCGAUUGACGUUACCCGCAGAAGAAGCACCGGCUAACUCCGUGCCAGCAGCCGCGGUAAUACGGAGGGUGCAAGCGUUAAUCGGAAUUACUGGGCGUAAAGCGCACGCAGGCGGUCUGUCAAGUCGGAUGUGAAAUCCCCGGGCUCAACCUGGGAACUGCAUUCGAAACUGGCAGGCGAGAGUCUUGUAGAGGGGGGUAGAAGUCCAGGUGUAGCGGUGAAAUGCGUAGAGAUCUGGAGGAAUACCGGUGGCGAAGGCGGCCCCCUGGACAAAGACUGACGCUCAGGUGCGAAAGCGUGGGGAGCAAACAGGAUUAGAUACCCCAGUAGUC
rnacentral:rRNA from 1 species